GGAAGUAUUUUUGAAUGUUAUAUAUUUUUAAUAAUAAUUUAAAAUUUUCAUUACCCACGGUAUUUUUGAUAUUUAUGUUAAAUGCAAUAAUUUAUUCAUUAGUCUAUAAUUUGAGAUAUAACCUUUUGAUUUAAUAAAAGGUGGUGUUCUAAUAUAAUUAGUAAAAUAAACGUAAAUGGAGGAGGUUGGUUAUAGCGCCCAUGACGUAUCAAGGGAGAAGAAGGAAUCGACAGCUGAUAAAAAAAUACAUAGGGUACUUUUGUGUUAGCGAGGUGGUGCUAGAUUCAUCGUUAUAAAUAAGUUUGUGUCUCCUCUCCCUCGUCAAGACAUAACACAAGGAAGGAGUCGAAUCUGCUCUAUUAAGAUGGAUGAUUAUGUUAGAAGUAUCUUUGUUCGAUUUUCUCUAUCUGGCUUUGUUCCUAUCUCUUGGGGAACAUAUCUGAAGAGUUUUCGUAUUUUCGUCUCAUCAAAAAUACGAGACCUGAUUUUCGUAGUUUGUUCCAACCGUCGGUGGCUACGAUGACAGUUGCAACAUUGGAUAAGUCGUAAUAAAAUGUAGUUUUUAUUAAAACUACUUAGUACCAUAAUCUUUAAAUAAAUUCAAAUAAUAGAAAAUAUAUUUUGGUAUUUUUUUGCUAAAUUUUGGCGAGUUUGGUACAUCCUUGAUUUUUUUGGCAACCUCAAUAAUGUUUUUAUGUGUUAUCUAAAGCUGUUAUUAUUAUUAUUCUUGAGGAGUGAACAUCUUCGACAAUAAUAAUAUGUAUGGAGGACUGUAUGUGCUCAUGAAUAAUGAAGAGUAACGCUGAUGACUUAUAAAUGCAAGUCAUUGUUGGAUUCAAAGUAUAAUUAUGGCUUGAAAAUGGAGUAAUUCCUGCUUAUGUCCCUUUGAUCAGAGUGGGACUUUAGCUUAUUUCCUUUAUAUUACAACAGCUAAUUUAAUGAAAUGUCAGUAAAGCAAGCUCUCUCCUUCUAAAUAUUCUUCAAAUUUUGAGGAUCUCAAUGGUUAGUUGCAACUUGUGUACUUUUAUCAUAAUAAUGACAACUUGAACACAACAUCUAUAUUCUAAAAGAACGUAAGCAUGAAGAAAAACCACGUGAAAAGGAAUCCUUUAAAACGGACCAACACUGUAAUUUAUGCAAAAGAAACACCUUACAUAACCCAGCAAAAAGUUGUUUUUUUAUUAUUUAUGAAAUUAUUCAGUGACGUGUAGUUCUACCAAGUCUUUCAAUUGGAGAGGACCCCCCUUUCAAACAGAAAUCCCUCCAUUCUCAGCUUUCUAUUCGAGAACCCACAUCAUGAAUACCACAGCAGUCGUAGGUAGAAGGGACCUUGUCUGGAGUGGAGUGGUAUUCUGGUUCCUUGUGUCCUAUUAUCCAUACCUCUCUGCCGGACUCAUUGCCGCACUUCUCGUUUCUACAUACUGGAAUACAACCAGUAAUGGAGUUACUAAUUUCAUACAUAUAUUCAGUAAGCGAAAGGGCCUCAAGAAUAGCAAUGUUCAGUUAAUCCAAACAACCACCAAUCGGAGGAAGGAAAAUGUGGAGGAGGAUGGUCACAAUUUGAGAACUGACUGUGCACAUAUGGCAUAACUUUUCUCUUUCCCUUUGUGUAGGUACUUUUUUCGACUCCAAUCUCUGUGAUAACUCGACCUUUCAUUUAUUCAUAGUUUUAACGGUAUUAUUAUUAUUUAUGAUCAAGUUAAUAAUUAAUAAUUUCGCCAAAAACAUAUGUAUCCUGUUUAAAUAACAUAUUUUAUGUCCAAUAAAAAUAUUAUUACUAUCAGAGUUUUACUAAGUAAAGACUUUGACCCUUCA
rnacentral:lncRNA from 1 species